UAGACGGAGGGGUGGCCAUUUUUCCGGGCACCACUAUAUACCCCUGGGGAGUGACGGAUUACAAUUAUUACAAUCACUCGACCAUUGAGAAGCCCCUCAAUUCGAACCACGUCAGUUUGACAACAGUUGUCAUUUUCAUUUUUGUUUAUGUUUUUGUUAUGUUUUUCAGUUUUUCCCUCGCGUGCCGCACAGCAACAACUUUUUCGGUUAUUCUUUUUUAUUUAUUUAAAAGUUAUUUAAACGAGGUCGUCUACUGAUCCGCCAGCAGCGGAUAAAGAAAGGAAGUGACUCAUCCUCGUCCGGUCAGCAGUACGGGUCCGACUUGGACACGCUGGACGUAACGAACAUGUACCCGCAAAACCUAUUGACGAUUCCGGCGCACCAUCAUUUUGAAAGGCAAAUUUCCGAACCGAUCAUUCCAACAUCGCCGGCCGUAUCGUCUCCACCGGAAGCGCGAUCAGCACCCGCGGAUCGUUCACACGGUGGACAUCAUCUCACCGUAUCUCAGCAGCCAUAUCUUGCAAGAACAUGACAUGACAAACAACACUCCCACCCAUUGUUGCCAAGGCGUUUCAGGCUAUUUCGUCAUACCCACCACACAAAGCUCAACUCCGUUGACCCUGGUCACCAGUAGUAGUGGGUCCACCCACUAUCUAACGCCGUCCUCCUCUCUGAAAACCGAUUCGGACGAUGAACCGUCGACACCCGUACCCCCAAUUCCACAAAUCCGACAAAUCCACCUGAAAACGGAUCGCACAUCGAGUCCAACGGUUGUUCUCGUUUCCGAUAUGGAAUCGCUCCAACAGCAGCACCAGCACCAUUUAUCGGGAAGUGCGGUUGCCAGUACAAUGACGGUGAAGAUGCCCUAAUAACAAAAAUCCAACCAUGGUACCAGUAUUUACGAUGACUUUGUGGAUUCUGUCUGGGCGACCGUACGGUCCACGGAUAUACGCCGCGGCGAUGCAGAUAUACCUAAAUGAACGUGACACGCCUUCCGCACAGUCGCCAAGUGUUUUGCAAUCCAGCGACUAUUCACUAUCGGUUAUGCUAAAAAAAGAACCGUGGGUGCACAAACCUAGUUGGCGGUGCGAGUAUCCAGGAUGGAAACUUUGUUUAUCUACCCCAGGAUGGUACCUAAUCAAUACGUUCCGUUGAUUGUGCCAUGCACAAGCUAGAGAAUAGGAACUGCAAGCUAUACGGCCAAUAUGGCAUGUCGAGAAGGAUGUAAAGCAAUGAGUAGUUUUAUCCCCCUGCGAUUAUCUAUUUUAACGCAAACAGAUGCCUUUCAAAUCCUGCGACUGCAGGAAUCCAUGCUUGGUGCUCGUUUGGGACUUCACCAGGUUCCUAAAACAAUCGUGGUGGAGCUCACUUAUAAGUUAGUGGAUGCCGUUUGUCCGGACCAUGACGUGACAAGCACUGGAAUUUUAAAGGAUCGUCUCCAGGAGGAAAAUAAUCUAAAGGCUCAAAAUACUGCCAAUAUGUAUAAAAUUUGCAGAAUUCUCUUACUUUGAUAUGGAGGCUAUUCGUUCGAUUCGAUUGAAGUCAUGCCCGUUCUGUUCUUUAUGUCCUAUAAUCAACGGCCUGAAAUAAUGUAGUCUGGACUAUAACUUGACUUAUUUGGAGGUAGUCGGAAAAGGCUGAAUUUUGCAAUCAUGUGCAAAAGUGUCCCCAAGGGGCAUUUUCGUAUGUGAGAAUAGUACCACUAAUGCUGGACUGACCGUGGCUGUUUGAAGUUUGAACAGAAAAAGGCUCACGAGAAUACUUGAAAAGAGUACUGGCAGAUCAGGAUGCUCGUUGUAUCAAUGAAUUAGAUAAAUUGUCCGAAAACCAUCAGAUAUUGUUGGAAGCCAUGGAGUAGCAAGUUUUAGGCGUGGCUAAAGAAGGAGUUAUUUGUUCACUACCCUUGUAUCUUAGUCAGUCUCCUAUAAUGAAACCAGCUUUCUUGUCUUGGUUUUCAUUCAACUUGAUCGACCGAAUGCCCAUCUGGACAACAUGCUAGCAGCUACGUUCAACGACUAUGCGGCUAUAUACUAUAGUUGUUUUGUUGGUUGCUUGAAUGGUUGAUUGAUUAGUUGGUUGGUUGAUUGAUUGAUUUGUUAGUUGGUGAAAUGAUUAUUUGCUUGAUAAGUUAGUUGGUUGAUUGAGAGCUUGUUUGAUUCGUUAAUUGCUUGAUUGGUUAAUGGUUGCUUGAUUGAUUGGAAGUGGUCUUGAAUGAUUGUUUCCUUGAUUGGUUGGUUGCCUAAUUGGUUGGUUAGUUGCUUGAUAGGUUAAUUGGUUGCUUGAUUUAUUUUUUAAUUGAUUGGUAGCUUGCUUGAAUGGUUGAAUGAUUGGUUGCUUGGUUGAUUGGUAAGAUGCUUGAUAGGAUGGUUGUUUAAUAGGAUGGUUGCCUAAAUUAGUUUAUUGGUAGCUUGCUUGAAUGGUUGAUUGAUUGUUUUAUUGUUUGCUUGAAUGGUUUUCAUGUUGGUUGCUUGAAAAGUUGAUUGGGUUACUUGAUUGAUUAGUAGGUUGUUUGAUUAGUUUGUUGUUUCAUUGGUUGGUUGACAGGCUGGUGGAUUGGUAGGUUGUUUGAAUGGUUGGUUGGUUGAUUGGUAUAGCUUGCUUGAAUGGUUGAAUAAUUGGGUGGUUGGUUGGUUGAUUUGUUAGUUGGUUGAAUGGUUGGUUGGUAGCUCGCUUGAAUGCCUAAUUGUUUUAUUGGUUGGUUAGUUAAUUGAUAGCUUGCUUAAAUGGUUGAUUUAUUGGUUGCUUGAUUUUUUGGUCAGCUGGUUAGUUGAUUAUUUGUUUUUUGGUUGCUUGAUUGGUUGAUUAGUUGGUUGGUUGAUUGAUUGAUUAGUUGAUUUGUUAGUUGGUUAAAUGUUUAAUUGCUUGAUUGGUUGGAAGUUGAUUGGUAGCUUGCUUGAAUGGUUGAUUGGUUGAUUGGUAGAUUGGUUAAUGGUUGCAUGAUUAAUUGGAAGUGGGUUAGAAUGAUUGUUUGUUUGAUUGGUUUAAUUGCUUGAUUGGUUUCCCUUGUCAUAAGACGAGUUUGUACAAUCCCAUUGAAUUCUACCACUUAAUUGUUUCUUGACAGAUACGUAUUUCAACCAACAGUAAAACCGUCUUCAGUGUUUCGUACUUGACUCGACUCGUCGUCGUCUUAUGACAAAUGAAGACAUUCCACUAAAAAGUUCAAAAUAAUUUUCUUAACAAAUUGAUUGGUUUGUUACUUGAUUGAUUUGUUGGUUGCUUAGUUGGGGGGUUGGUAGAUUGAUUAGUUGCUUGAUUGGUUAAUUGUUUGCUUGAUUGAUUGGAAGUGGGCUUGAAUGAUUGGUUGCUCGAUUGUUUAGUUGGUAACUUGAUUCUUUAUUUAUAAAGUUGAUUAGUGAUUUGGUUGCUCGAUUGCUUGAUUUGUUCUUCUUCUUCUUCUUAUUGGCAUUACAUCCCCACACUGGGGCAGAGCUGCCUCGCAACUUAGUGUUCAUUAAGCACAUCCACAGUUAUUAACUGUGAGGUUUCUAAACCAGGUUACCAUUUUUACAUUCGUAUAUAAUGAGGCUAAGAUAAUACUUUUAUGCCCAGGGAAGUCGAGACAAUUCCCAAUCCGAAAAUUGCCUAGACUGGCACCGGGAAUUGAACCCAGCCACCCUCAGCAUGGUCUUGCUUUGUAGUCGCGCCUCCUACCGCACGGCUAAGGAUGGCCCCUGCUUGAUUUGUUAGUUGGCUGAAUGGUUGGUUACUUGAUUGGUAGUUGCUUGGUAGGUUGGUUGUCUAAUACUAAUGACACACUGAUGGUAUUCGUACCAUGGUACAAGUUGUACCACAGGUGUGUCACCUUGUACCAUGCUGGUACAACGUGGAAAACCGUGGUACAAUAUGUACUAGGGUACAUAACCGUGGUAUACCACGGUCCUUGUACCACCAGUGUGUCUUUAGUAUAAAUGGUUUAUUGUUUGGUUAGUUCUUUGGUAGCUUGCCUAAAUGAUUGAUUGCUUGAUUGGUUGGUUGAUUGGUUUAUUGCUUGAUUGAUUGGAUGGUUGCUUAAUUGAUGGGUUGGUUGAUUGAUUAGUUGCUUGAUUGGUUAAUUGGUUGCUUGAGUGAUUGGAAGUGGGCUUGAAUGGAUGGUUGCUCGAUUGGUUAGUUGCUUAUUUGGUUGCUUGUUUAGUUGAUUAGUAGUUUUAUUGAUUGCAUGAAUGGUUAAUUGAUUGGUUCUUUGAUUGGUUGAUUAGUUGGUUGGUUCAUUCAUUGCUUGGUUGAUUGGUAGCUAGCUCACUAAUAACUGUGGAAGUGCUUAAUGAACACUACGCUGCGAGGCGGCUCUGUCCCAGUGUGGGGUGUAAUGCCAAUAAGAAGAAGAAGGUAUUGGUUACCAAAGUUUCAUGGUUUGCUAAGAACGGAAUUUCAGUUCAAUGUCUGGAAGCAGUUACGGUUUUACCUUGUCAUUCGAUAAUAAAUAGAAACCGGAAGCAGCUGUUGAUCGUCGCAAACCUAAAAAUAUGGUGGCAUACUCCGACGGCCUUGUGUUGGAACCAAUAAAGGGGUUCAGGAAUACAACAUUUGCUACCGAUGCAGAAGAUUAUGAGAACGCCGGCGCUCAGAUCCUCCAAAGAAGCAAAAUGGGAAUAUUGUCUCGCCAAAUUCGGAAACUCGUCGAGAGCAGAAAAUUAGUGAAACAGCUAAUGAAAACAAUAUUCGCCAGAUGCGCUCAAUUUUUCAUUUUUCAUUGAUUAUAUUAACGAAGAUACAUUUGCAUGACUUGGUGAUUCGCAUUGCUGCCCACACUACCGUAAUAUGUAAUAGAUUACCGUAAUGAUUACGAAUACAUACCUAUUUUAAGAUCACUUCAAAACGAACUUUUGUUGAGAGGCCCGAAGAUCCAUAUUGUUACACAUCAAUCGACUCAGCUAAGUUGCUUGAUUGAUUGAUUGGUAUGGUAGCUUGCUUGAAUGGUUGAAUGGUUGGUUGCUUAAGUUGUUGACUGUUUGGUUCACUGGUUGAUUGAUUAGUUGGUCGGCUGGUAAGUUGAUAAGUUGUUUUGUUGAUUGCUUGGUUAAUUAGUUUUUUGGUUGCUUGAUUGGUUGAUUAGUUGGUAGGUUCCUUGAUUGCUUGGUAGAUUGAUAGCUUGUUUGACUGGUUGGUUACUUGAUUGGUUGGAUGAUUAUUUGGUUGGCUGCUGCUUGAUUUGUUAGUUGGUAGUAUGGUAUGGUUGAUUGGUUGGUUGCUUGACAGGCUGAUUGAUUGGUUAGUCGGCUGGUUAGUUGAUUAUUUGUUUUGUUGGUUGCUUGGUUGAUUAGUUAAUAUGUUGAUUGAUACCUUGCUUGAAUGGUUGGUUGCUUGAUUUGUUGGUUAUUUGGUUGCAGCUUGAUUUGUUAGUUGGAAGAAUGAUUGAUUGGUUGGUUGCUUGAUUGUUGGUUGGUUGCCAAUCCAACCAACCAAUCAGGUUAUUUGAUUGAUUGGUUGCAUGACUGGCUUGACUGGUUGAUUGAAUGGUUGGUCGGCUGGUUAGUUCAUAUGUUGUUUUGUUGGUUGCUUCAAUGGUUGCUUGGUUGAUGAUUAGUUGGUUGGAUGCUUGAUUGCUUGGUUGAUUGGUAGCUUGCCUGAAUGGCUGAUUGCUGGAUUAGUUGGUUGGUUGCUUAAUUGGUUGAUUGUUUGCUUUACUGGUUGAUUGAAUAGUUGGUCGGUUGGUUAGUCGAUUAGUUGUUUUGUUGGUUGCUUGAAUAGUUGAUUGGUUGGUUGCUUAUUUGGUUGAUUAGCUUGUUGGUUGCUUGAUGUGUUGGUUUGUUAUUUGGUUUCUUGAUUGGUUGACUGGUUGGUUGGUUGCUUGCUUGAUUUGUUAGUUGGUUGAAUGGUUAUUUGCUUAAUUGGUUGAUUAGUGGCUUAAUUGAUUGAUUGGUAGGUUAUUUGGUUGUUUGGUUGCUUGACUGAUUGAUUGAUUGGUUGGUCGGCUUGUUAGUUGAUUAGUUGUUUUGUUGGUUGCUUAUUUGAUUGAUUAGCUUGUUGGUUGAUUGGUUGAUUAGUUAGUUGGUUGAUUGGUAGCUUGCUUGAUUGGUUGGUUGCUGGAUUAGUUGAUUGAUUGACGGUUGGUUACUUAUUUGGUUGAUUGGUUGCUUUACUUGAUUGAUUGGGUGUGGUUAUUUAGUUGAUUGGUUGCUUCAUUGUUUGGUCGUCUCGUUAAUUGAUAAGUUGUUUAGUUGAUUGGUUAAUUAGUUGGUUAGUUGCUUGAUUGGUUGGUUGCUUGCUUGAUUGAUUGGUUGGUUGCUUGAUUAGUUGGUUGGUUGCUUGAUUGCUUGAUUGAUUGCUGCUUGAUUUGUUAGUUGGUAGUAUGGUUGAUUGGUUGGUUGCUUGACAUGUUGAUUGAUUGGUUAGUAGGCUGGUUAGUUGAUUAGUUGUUUUGUUGGCUGCUUGGUUGAUUGGUUAAUAAGUUGAUUGCUGGAUUGGUUGGUUAGUUGAUUGGUUGGUUAUUUAGUUGAUUGGUUGUUUGAUUGGUUAUUGAUUGGUUGCUUGAUUGUUGGUUGGUUGCUUGACUGGUUGAUUGGUUGGUUGCUUGUUGGUUAGUAGGCUGGUUAGUGGAUUAGUUGUUUUGUUGAUUGCUUGAUUGGUUAGUUGAUUGAUUGGUUAAGUAUUUGGUUGAUGGGUUGGUUGGUUGCUGCUUGAUUUGUUAGUUGAUAGAAUGGUUGAUUGGUUGGUUGCUUCAUUGUUGGUUGAUUGAUUGAUUGGUUGGUAAUUUGGUUGAUUAGUUGCUUGACUGGUUGAUCUGCUGGUUGGCUGGUUAGUUGAUAUGUUGUUUUGUUGGUUGCUUGGUUGGUUGAUUGGUUGGUUGUUGCUUGAUUUGUUAGUUGGUAGAACUUUUGAUUAGUUGGUUCCUAGAUAGUUGGCUGGUUGCUUCAUCGUAUGUUGGUUGCUUGGUUGGUUAUUUAGUUGAUUGGUUGCUUGAUUGACUAAUCCAGCAAUCAGCCAUUCAAGCAAGCUACCAAUCAAUCAAGCAACGAAUCAAUUAAUCGACCAACCAAGCAACCAAUAAAACAACAUAUCAACUAACCAGCCGUUCAGCCAAUCAAGCAACCAAAUAAUCAACCAGUCAAGCAACCAAUUAACCAAAUUACCAAUCAAUUAAUCAAUCAAUCAAUCAACCAACAAUGAAGCAACCAACCAAUCAACCAUUCUACCAAUUAACAAAUCAAGCAGCAACCAACCAACCCAUCAACCAAAUAACUAACCAAUCAAGCAACCUAGCAAACAACUUAUUAACCAAUCAACCAAGCAAUCAACAAAACAACUAAUCAACUAACCAGCCUACUAACAAACAAGCAACCAACCAAUCAACCAGUCAACCAACCAACCAACAAUGAAGUAACCAACCAACAAUCAAGCAACCAAUCAAUCAACCAUACUUCCAACUGACAAAUCAAGCAGCAACCAACCAAUCAUGUAAGCUACCAAUCAACCAACCAAUCAAGCGACCAAUCAACUAAACAACUUACCAAUUAACGAAACGACCAACCAAUCAACUAAAUAACCACAACCAAUCAAUCAAGUAAAACAAUCAAUCAACCAAAUAAGUAACCAACCACCAAUCAAUCAACUAAUCCAGCAACCAACCAAUUAAGCAAGCUACCAAUCAACCAAAUAACUAAUCAACCAAUCAACCAACAAGCUAAUCAACCAAAUAAGCAACCAACCAAUCAACCAUUCAAGCAACCAACAAAACAACUAAUCAACUAACCAGCCGACCAACCAUUCAAUCAACCAGUAAAGCAAACAAUCAACCAAAUAACCAACCAAUUAAGCAAUCAACCAACUAAUCCAGCAAUCAGCCAUUCAGGCAAGCUACCAAUCAACCAAGCAAUCAAGCAACCAACCAACUAAUCAUCAACCAAGCAACCAACAAAACAACAUAUGAACUAACCAGCCGACCAACCAAUCAAGCAACUAAUCAAUCAACCAGUCAAGCAACCAAUCAACCAAAUAACCUGGUUAGUUGGUAAGAUUGAGAACCGAUCAACAAUCAAGCAACCAACCAACCAAUCAAUCAUUCUACCAACUAACAAAUCAAGCAGCAACCAAUCAACCGAUCAACCAAAUAACCAACCAAUCAAUCAACCAACCAAUCAACCAAUCAAUUAUCCAACCUACGAACUAAUCAAGCAAGCAACAAAACAGUCGAGUCAAGUACGAGACACUGAAUACGACCACACAGUUGUGGUCGAAAUACGUACACAGAAAAAAAUAAUAUUGUUCUACAGAAAAUAUCAUACUUUGUAUAUUGAAGUUGCCCAAUUUACGUUAAAAUAAAAGUUAAAUUGUUUUCAGUGAAAGUUAAAUUUCUUGGUUAAAAGUUUUAUCCGUUUUCAUUGAGUGUAGAUUUAAAAGUACAACUUUUUGAUAAGAAAACUGUUGAAUAGUCAAUCCACCCAGUAUCGUUUGAAGUCGAUGACAAACAACAACAAUAGAAGUUGUCAACUUGCUUUCCUUUUUGCACGAGUUUGUGUGCAGUAAGAAUUCUGCCUUCGACUCCUAAAUCUUGUUAGCUGCUGAUACAAAAUAAUCAGUUCCCCAGAAUUUUUCGUGCGACGUUGCGAUAAGGAAAGGCACCGCCCACUCUACGGCCAUGGCGCAAACAACCAGAAAAACACCAAGGAGAGAUCAGAUUCGGCUCGGGAUGUUUGACUGGAAGAAUGACUAUGGCGCGAUAAACGGCAUUUUGAGGACAUACGCAUGUAUCCGUCAACUCAAAUUAAUUACUAAAGAUGAAGUUCAAAAUAAAUAUAUAAUAACAUAAAAUCUAAAAUCGAUUCCAUAAA